AGAGUUUGAUCAUGGCUCAGGAUGAACGCUGGCGGCGUGGAUAAGGCAUGCAAGUCAAACGGACCCUCACGUUCGGAGAUUGCGAUUACAUCAAGAUCAAAGAGUGUGAGAAGUUAGUGGCAGACGAGUUAGUAACACGUAGGAAUCUCCCCCGAAGUCGAGAAUAACUAGCCGAAAGGUUGGCUAAUACUCGAUGGUAUCCUCGGAUUAAAGAAGCAAUUCGCUUCGGGAAGAGCCUGCGGGCUAUCAGCUAGUUGGUAGGGUAAUGGCCUACCAAGGCGAUGACGGCUAGGGGAGCUGAGAGGCUGACCCCCAACGAUGGGACUGAGACACGGCCCAUACACCUACGGGUGGCUGCAGUCAAGAACCUUCCACAAUGGACGAAAGUCUGAUGGAGCGACGCCGCGUGAUGGAUGAAGUCCCUCUGGGACGUAAACAUCUUUUGUCGAGGAGAAAGUUUUGAUAGUACUCGAAGAAUAAGGGGUUGCUAAACUCGUGCCAGCAGCAGCGGUAAUACGAGUGCCCCGAGCGUUAUCCGGAAUUAUUGGGCGUAAAGGGUGUGUAGGUGGUUGUGUUAGUCUCCUAUCAAAUUCUUCGGCUUAACCGGGGGUCCGCAGGGGAAACGGCACGACUCGAGGGUGCGAGGGGUCAGUGGAACUCAUGGAGUAGGGGUGAAAUCCGUUGAUAUCAUGGGGAACACCAAAAGCGAAGGCAACUGACUGGCGCAUUCCUGACACUGAGACACGAAAGCGUGGGUAGCGAACUGGAUUAGAUACCCUAGUAGUCC
rnacentral:rRNA from 1 species